CCGGUGCGUGCUGACCCGGUUCAGGUGGUGAGUGCUGUGCCCGGUGUGUUUUGACGCAGGACAAAGAAUCGAAGCGCCUCGCGUUGGGGUCCCCGCCCCGACAGCCCGUCAAGCGUGUUGGCACCCGAGGGCCCGCGUGAGUCGAGGAAGGCGGCGUGUGGCCCCGGCCCGGCCCGCCCGCAGGAGGCCGGGAACGCGGGGUCUCAGGUCAAGUGUUGCCUCCUCUGAGAAGUCCUCCCUCACCACUCACUCUGUCUAUAUCCCCAAGCCCCAGCCCACCUUAGUUCUCCUCCUCAUCACCCUGGGAUCAAAAUGCCAGACACACCCGUGCAACCAGCGCCCGUCCCAGAAGCAGAGCGUGUCGCACAGGGGUCAGUAAAGGACUGCGGCCCGGAAGCUUUGGAGACGUUGUCCGUUCCCUCGUGAUGCAGACAGAGCCGGACCAGCAUCAGUCCCACUCCAAGGGCUCACGGGCGUAAGGGAGCACAGACGACGAGGAGCUGAGUGAGGGACGGAGACCAUGCUGGGGGCAGAGGUGGGGGGGCAAGUAGGGAGGGGCAAGCCGGGCCUGCACGACUCCUCACGGGAGCACUCCGGAGCACGCCUGGUCAGGCCGGCUGUGGCUGUGAGGAGACCCCCUCCGGAUCCCAGGCAGGCGGAGCUGGGGGCAGUGAGGUGUGUGUGCUGCAAAGUGCAUCCCCCAGGAAGGUGGGAGUGUUCCAGAAAGCGCAGGAUUCGGGGGAAGGGGUCUCGCUGUGGCUGGGGGAGGGACACUGUCCCACUCCUCCGUGGAGCACCUCAGGUGUGCAGGCCCGGGGCCAGGAUUUUCACAAGAACCACCUCCUCCAACGUCACAACCCCAGUGAGGCUGGUUGUCCUCACCGGGAGGGCACUGAGCUGUCCUCGCGCCUGCCCUGGCCGCUCUGAUGGCAUCUCCGGAACCCGCCCAGAACCACCCUGCAGGAAGCAGUUCCGGAGGGAGAGGGGCGCA